rnacentral:rRNA from 1 species
GAUGAACGCUAGCGGCAGGCUUAAUACAUGCAAGUCGAGGGGCAGCACGAAUAGCAAUAUUUGGUGGCGACCGGCGCACGGGUGCGUAACACGUAUACAAUCUACCUUAAACAGGGGGAUAGCCUUUCGAAAGAGAGAUUAAUACCCCGUAAUAAAUUGAAUGGCAUCAUUUGAUUUUGAAAGCUCCGGCGGUUUGAGAUGAGUAUGCGUCUGAUUAGCUAGUUGGUGAGGUAACGGCUCACCAAGGCGACGAUCAGUAGGGGAUCUGAGAGGACUAACCCCCACACUGGUACUGAGACACGGACCAGACUCCUACGGGAGGCAGCAGUAAGGAAUAUUGGUCAAUGGAGGCAACUCUGAACCAGCCAUUCCGCGUGAAGGAUGAAUGCCCUCUGGGUUGUAAACUUCUUUAGUCUGGGAAGAAAAACAUAUAUUCAUAUAUGUCUGACGGUACCAGAAGAAUAAGCACCGGCUAACUCCGUGCCAGCAGCCG